CUACGGGAGGCAGCAGUGGGGAAUCUUAGACAAUGGGCGCAAGCCUGAUCUAGCCAUGCCGCGUGAGUGACGAAGGCCCUAGGGUCGUAAAGCUCUUUCAACGGUGAAGAUAAUGACGGUAGCCGUAGAAGAAACCCCGGCUAACUCCGUGCCAGCAGCCGCGGUAAUACGGGGGGGGCUAGCGUUGUUCGGAAUUACUGGGCGUAAAGCGCACGUAGGCGGACUAUUAAGUCAGGGGUGAAAUCCCGGGGCUCAACCCCGGAACUGCCCUUGAUACUGGCAGUCUUGAGUUCGAGAGAGGUGAGUGGAAUUCCGAGUGUAGAGGUGAAAUUCGUAGAUAUUCGGAGGAACACCAGUGGCGAAGGCGACUCACUGGCUCGAUACUGACGCUGAGGUGCGAAAGCGUGGGGAGCAAACAGGAUUAGAUACCCCUGUAGUCC
rnacentral:rRNA from 1 species